rnacentral:rRNA from 1 species
CGCGUAGGCGGCUUGUUAAGUGGCUGGUGAAAUCCCGCUGCUCAACGGCGGGGCUGCCGGUCAGACUGGCGAGCUAGAGCACGGUAGGGGCAGAUGGAAUUCCCGGUGUAGCGGUGGAAUGCGUAGAGAUCGGGAAGAAUACCAGUGGCGAAGGCGUUCUGCUGGACCGUUGCUGACGCUGAGGCGCGACAGCGUGGGGAGCAAACA